UCUCUGGUGUCUCAGAUGUUAAAGCAUCUGUCUACAAUGCAGGAGACCCAGGUUCAAUCCCUGGAUUGAGAA
rnacentral:tRNA from 1 species